ACCCUUAUCGCCUGCCUGCUCUACCAUAAGCUGAUUGUUAGGCCCGGUUUUACAAAUGUCCGGUUCAACACGAGUUCAACUGAACUUGAGUUCAACUGAACUGAGGUUCAAUUCAUGCGUCCGUUUUACAAACACCGCUAUCGUCCGGUUCAGCUGAACCACAAAUUUCCUUAGGUUGGUAGCGCGCACCCGAGAAUCUGACAGUUGAGACCACGUUGGGAGCACGUUGGAAGUGUGUUGUUGUUGUCAUCUAUGUCAUCAUGUCACAUUAUUAUAAAUUAUUUGUGACAAAUUCUGCAAAGUAAUUAGUUUUUUGCGUUACUGGGAUGAGUAAUACACGUGCUCCGAAUUUUACAAAAUCCGAAGAAAACUUGCUCCUAUCUUUAGUAAGCAAGUAUAGAAAUAUUCUGGAGUGUAAAUUGUCCAACACUGAUGCAAAUCAAAAAAAAAAAAAAUCAGUGUUGGAAGAAAAUUGAAGUAGAGUUCAAUUCUUUAUCUGGCCAGACCUUCCGGGAUCACAAAGUUUUGAACAAAAAGUACGACAACAUUAAGAAGAGGACAACGAAAAAAUUUGCUGACGAGAAAGCCUAUGUCGGUGGUACUGGGAGAGGGUCACAACAAAGUAUUGAGGCCACCGAUGUUGAUGUGGCUGUAAAAGAAAUUCUCGGGGCCAAACCAAUGGGGCAUAGCAGCGAAUUUGAUGGCGAUUCCGAAACAACCUCAUUCCAAAGUAACAGCGGUAUAAUCUGUCUGAUGACGAAAAUGAUGAUCAAACCGGAGCAAUUUCGAGAGAAGUGCCUGUUAUGGAUAAAAUAAGUGGUCCCAAUAAAGAAAGUGGUAAACAUUAAUAAUAAUCAAAUAUGGUUAUUUUUGUAGAAAAUGGUCAAACUGGGAAUUGGGCUAAAUACUCCCCCAAAAUCUUGAAGCAAAAAAAAUUUUCAGCACUCACGCCAUAUCGUAGAGGUAAAGGAAACCAGACAAGUGAUAAUUUAGAGCAAUGUGCCGCUGCCAAAGAACUUGUCGAACUAAGUCGAAAGGAAUACAUCCAAAAGGAGCAAGAGUUUAAAUUAAAAGCCAUGAAAGAGAAACAUGAACUAGAAAUGCAAAUUAUGAGAGACAAAGCUGCACUUGAAUUAGAAGUAAUAAAGCAGAACACCAAAUGAAGAUUGAAAUAUUAAUUGCCCAAAAAUUUAAUAUUUUAAAUAAUAAAACUUAAAUAAAUAAUUACAUUACA